rnacentral:rRNA from 1 species
AGAGUUUGAUCCUGGCUCAGGAUGAACGCUGGCGGCAUGCCUAAUACAUGCAAGUCGAACGAGAGGAAGGAAAGCUUGCUUUUCUGAAUCUAGUGGCGAACGGGUGAGUAACACGUAGGUAACCUGCCCAUGUGCCCGGGAUAACUUCUGGAAACGGAUGCUAAAACCGGAUAGGUAGCAGACAAGCAUUUGACUGCUAUUAAAGUGGCUAAGGCCAUGAACAUGGAUGGACCUGCGGUGCAUUAGCUAGUUGGUGAGGUAACGGCCCACCAAGGCGACGAUGCAUAGCCGGCCUGAGAGGGCGGACGGCCACAUUGGGACUGAGACACGGCCCAAACUCCUACGGGAGGCAGCAGUAGGGAAUUUUCGUCAAUGGGGGGAACCCUGAACGAGCAAUGCCGCGUGAGUGAGGAAGGUCUUCGGAUCGUAAAGCUCUGUUGUAAGAGAAAAACGACAUUCAUAGGGAAUGAUGAGUGAGUGAUGGUAUCUUACCAGAAAGUCACGGCUAACUACGUGCCAGCAGCCGCGGUAAUACGUAGGUGGCGAGCGUUAUCCGGAAUGAUUGGGCGUAAAGGGUGCGUAGGUGGCAGAACAAGUCUGGAGUAAAAGGUAUGGGCUCAACCCGUACUGGCUCUGGAAACUGUUCAGCUAGAGAACAGAAGAGGACGGCGGAACUCCAUGUGUAGCGGUAAAAUGCGUAGAUAUAUGGAAGAACACCGGUGGCGAAGGCGGCCGUCUGGUCUGGAUUCUGACACUGAAGCACGAAAGCGUGGGGAGCAAAUAGGAUUAGAUACCCUAGUAGUCCACGCCGUAAACGAUGAGAACUAGGUGUUGGGGGAAUAACUCAGUGCCGCAGUUAACGCAAUAAGUUCUCCGCCUGGGGAGUAUGCACGCAAGUGUGAAACUCAAAGGAAUUGACGGGGGCCCGCACAAGCGGUGGAGUAUGUGGUUUAA